AAGAGGUUAAGGUAAUCCAAAAUUCUGAAUGAGUCUCUUAUAGUGGAUGCUCACCGGGUUUAUUUGAUUCUGCGAUCUGUUUGGUAUUCUAUUUUCUUGUAUAAAUUCCUGAUAAUUGAUGUUUAACUCAUCUAUCUGAUAAACUAAUUUGUUUUGCUGAUCCUUUUAGAAAAUCGACUGUAUUCACAACAAUGCAGUCAUGGAGUUGAUGAGCGGUGUCAAAAAUCAGUUAACUGAACUCAUACCUGGUCUAGCUGUUCAAGACAUGACUUCAAUGAGCCUGGGUUUAUCCCAUAGCUUAUCCAUAUACAAGUUGAAGUUUAACGCAGAUAAGUAGCCCAGCGAAAGGAAGAAAGGAAGGCUAAUUUACAAGUGAUUGUGUGCUUGUUUUUAAAUUUUGUAUUAAUAUCUUGUUUUAAAUUUUGUAUGAAUCUUGUUUUAUAGCCUUUUAUAAUAUAUAUUCUUUUAUUGUAUUCAGGCCCAGUUUUCUCAUAUGCAAAUUGCACCUUUCUCUGCUGACAUUAUUGGAUAUCAUCCAGCUUAUUUUGGUCUAGGAACACCUGGGUUUGUCUCACCUCAGGCAGCAGGCUAUGGUUUUCAACCUCAUGUCUGAUGCAACUUUUGUGAAUCAUAUCAUGUAAGGAAACUAACAUAGUUAGAAUAUGAGAAAAGUACACAUGUUCCUUUGGAUUUUUUCCCAGAAAUUGCCCAUAAUCGGCUACAUAUUUUACAUGUUCGAAUAAUUGAUACCAAAGUAGCAGUUUUAACAUUUCAUUGUAAACAGUUGGAGUUAGAAUACGAUGAAUCUUUGGCCUUCAGAUGUAGACUUAUAAACAAGACCGUGUCAAUUUAUUUUUGUUAUGGAAAUUUUUACCUUCGC